rnacentral:rRNA from 1 species
GAUGAAGAACGUAGCGAAAUGCGAUACUUGGUGUGAAUUGCAGAAUCCCGUGAACCAUCGAGUCUUUGAACGCAAGUUGCGCCCGAAGCCUUUAGGCCUAGGGCACGUCUGCCUGGGCGUCACGCAUCGCGUCGCCCCCAAUCAUCACUCAUAUUG